rfam:Schistosoma haematobium scaffold964_13, whole genome shotgun sequence.
AUCCAGCUGACGAGUCCCAAAUAAGACGAGACGCGCUUCCUGCAU